CGCCCUUCAGAGGGGGACAACAGUUGGAAACGACUGCUAAUACCGCAUACGAUCUAAUCUCGGCAUCGAGGAUGGAUGAAAGGUGGCCUCUAUUUAUAAGCUAUCACUGAAGGAGGGGAUUGCGUCUGAUUAGCUAGUUGGAGGGGUAACGGCCCACCAAGGCGAUGAUCAGUAGCCGGUCUGAGAGGAUGAACGGCCACAUUGGGACUGAGACACGGCCCAG
rnacentral:rRNA from 1 species